UGGUGGAGUGAUUUGUCUGGUUAAUUCCGAUAACGAACGAGACCUUAACCUGCUAAAUAGCCCCAUCGACUAUGGUUGGUGGCUGGCUUCUUAGAGGGACUAUUGGCUUCCGGCCAAUGGAAGUUUGAGGCAAUAACA
rnacentral:rRNA from 1 species